rnacentral:tRNA from 1 species
GGAGGUGUGGCUCAAGUGGUAGAGCACCUGCCUCACAAUCACAAGGUCCUGAGUUCAAACUUCAGUGCUACCA